CGCAUCAUCAGUGUGCGCUAAGGGCACGUUUGGCCCGCGUCGCUCAAAGGAGUGGUUGCUUUGUUGUCCCAGCAAUGAGCUGUGCCCAGUUAAUGGGGUCUUGCUUCCCGUGGCGACUGGGUACGGUCGCCCCGCGACACCUCUCAGCUUAUGGAAGAAGAAUCAGUGUCAGAUUUUGCAGCUCAGGACUGACUUUAGACAAGAUCAGUCGGGCAGCUGUGGACCGAAUCAUACGGGUGGAUCAUGCAGGUGAAUAUGGAGCAAACCGCAUUUAUGCAGGACAGAUGGCGGUCCUGGGUCGCACAAGUGUCGGGCCAGUCAUCCAGAAAAUGUGGGAUCAAGAAAAGGACCACUUGAAAAAGUUCAACGAAUUGAUGGUUGCAUACAGGGUCCGGCCGACUAUUCUGAUGCCCUUUUGGAAUGUGGUGGGGUUUGCACUGGGCGCAGGAACCGCCCUGCUGGGGAAGGAGGGAGCGAUGGCCUGCACGGUGGCUGUGGAAGAGUCCAUAGCACAUCACUACAACAACCAGAUCAGGGCAUUGAUGGAGGAGGAUCCUGAAAAAUACAAUGAACUGCUUCAGGUGAUAAAGAAAUUUAGAGAUGAAGAGCUUGAGCAUCAUGACAUAGGCCUUGAACAUGAUGCAGAACUGGCUCCAGCAUAUGCCGUUUUGAAGAGGCUUAUCCAAGCUGGAUGCAGUGUGGCGAUAUAUUUAUCAGAAAGAAUUUAAGACUUGAACUGAAACAUUGGCUCUUCUUGGGCUUGGAGUUGCCAGCUUUCAGGCUGGAGCUCCACCAUCAGCUCUCCUGAGUCUCCAGCCUGCCAGCUGCAGACCUUGAGGCUUGUCAGCCUCUGUAAUCACGUGAGCCAAUUCCUUACAAGUUACCUGUCUCUGUACCCUGUUGUGCUUUUCUCAGGAAGCCUGACUAAUACUGGACCUAAAGGAAAGAUGAGUCAGUGGUGAGUUUAAGACUGAAUAACUAGGAAAAUGAUCAAAAUAUAGGACAGAAAUAAAGAAAUAAUAUCAAAGGAAGUGACUAGUUUUGGAAGAAGGGGUUUUUUUCCCCCAUUUACAAAGCAUUGAUUAAGCAUCUGCCCUGUGCCAGAUGAAGUGCCAGCUACUGGGGACUGAAAGAUCUACCUGGCUGUGGAAACUAGAGGCCAACAUGCAGCCUUCUGAGUUUUCCUUCAGCCUCACCAGCCACAUUGAAUUAAUCUUCAGGUCUGCAACACCUCCUCGGAUUGCUCUCAACCAUUUCUUUGGCAGAUAGGGCUUUCAUUGGAAUCACCAUCUUCUAUCCUUUUAGGGAUUUUGUGAAGAUUUCACUUAGGGUUCAGGAAGAACAUGGACCUAUUUGAAGAGGUUUGUAUGUGAAAUCAGGAAAUGGAAGGUCACUGGUAUUGAUCAAAGUAUGUGGGCAUAAAGUGUAUUUCUCAUUUCUUUAUUGAAGUGGUUAAGAAGAGUGCUGCUAACAAUGUCAAGUGUUUAUUGGGGGAAGAGUUAGUGUCCAAAGAAAAAUCUGCAGUUUUUCUAUGAGAUGCCAUUAGUCAAAAUGGACUUGAGUAAAGAAAGAUGAGAGGGGAGAGAGGACAUCUCCAGAUAGGGAGAAAGAGACACCUAUUCUGGGUGGCUGCUAAGGCUGAGAGUCUGGCCUCUUCAUACUUCAUACUUUAGCUCCAUCUGAGGGAAGGGAAUCUUAAGAAAGCUACUGCAAAAAAUGACAGCUUGGACCUCUCCCACCUCUUGGAGUAACAUGGGAUACUGUGUUAUCCAUCCAUUCCCAUGAGAGCUCAGGGGAAGCCCUUAGACUAUCUCCCUCUACUCAGCAACUGGGUAUGCCCAGGGACUGUGUUUGGGUCAGUGAUACAUAAACAGAAGUUCUUAGGCGGGGUUUUCAGGAAAGCUGCUCAGGAAUGGGGCAGACAACUGCGACCUGCUCUCUCUGUCUUUCCCCAAAUGUUGCAUCCAGCCUGGGAUGUGGAUAUCAGGGCUGGAAUGCCAGCAACCAUUCUGAAGGUACAGUACAAUUCAACAUGUGCAAAAUGACUUCUGUUCAAGUUGCAGAACCUAUGAACAUUGUUAAGUGAAGAUUUAUUAUGUGCCAGGUGUGGACUGGAUCUGUCUGUGUGUCACUUCACAUAAUCCAUACUGCCAAGGAAACUUGAAAAUCAAAAAGGGAUGAAUAGUUGAUGACAUCUUUGCUCUGGAUUUCGUGGAGUGCUGCUGCCACAGCAACAAGCCUGGAAUAGCCUGCCGGAGGACGAGAAAUCACACAGAUCGGGAACAUGCUGUUCCACACGUCCCUGGGCAAACCAGCCUGCCAACCACUGGACACUGAGCGGGCCAUCCUAGACCAUUCAGCUCCAGCCAAGCCACCGAGAGACCACUGACAUCUAGACCAAGCUGGCCUAGAACAGAACAACCACCCUGCCUACCCACAGAAUUGUGAAAAAUAAUAAAUGUUUGUUAUUUAAGCCUU